rnacentral:rRNA from 1 species
AGCGAUUACUUUUAACUUUGAGGCUUCGGCGGAUUGGUUAUUAGUGAUAGCGGCGAACGGGUGAGUAAUGUAUGGGUAACAUUCCUUGAAGUCAGGGAUAGCUCGUCGAAAGACGGGAUAAUACUUGAUAGUCUGGUUUGCCGAGAGGUUUUUCCAGUAAAGAAUUUCGCUUCAAGAUUGGCUCAUAUUCCAUCAGCUAGUUGGUAGUGUAAUGGACUACCAAGGCUAAGACGGAUAGCUGGUGUGAGAGCACGGUCAGCCACAGUGGAACUGAGACACGGUCCACACUCCUACGGGAGGCAGCAAUUAGGAAUCUUACACAAUGGGGGCAACCCUGAUGUAGCGACGCCGCGUGGAGGAAGAAGGUUCUCGGAUCGUAAACUCCUUUUAUAUGGGACGAAUAAAUGACGGUACCAUACGAAUAAGUGACUGCUAACUACGUGCCAGAAGCAUCGGUGAUGCGUAGGUCACGAACGUUAUCCGGAGUUAUUGGGUGUAAAGAGAAGCGUAGGCGUUUCAGUUAGUCUAAUGUCAAAGACCUCGGCUUACCCGAGGGCAGGCACCGGAUACUGCUGAAAUUGAGAUAAGAAGGGGUAGAUGGAAUUCCCGGUGUAGCGGUAAAAUGCGUUGAUAUCGGGAGGAACACCAGAGGCGAAGGCGAUCUACUGGUCUUAUUCUGACGCUAAGGCUCGAAAGCGUGGGGAGCAAAACGGAUUAGAUACCCGUGUAGUCCACGCUGUAAACAAUGGAUGCUGGGUGUCGGUUAUAACUUAGUUUUUUCUUCGGAAAAAGCUUGGAAGUAAUCGGUGCCGAAGCUAACGCGUUAAGCAUCCCACCUGGGGACUACGAUCGCAAGAUUAAAACUCAAAUGGAUUGGCGGGGACUCGCACAAGCAGAGGAGCGCGUGGUUUAAUUCGAUGGCAAUCGAAGAACCUUGCCAGGGCUUGAAAUGUAACUGCUAAGCCUAUGUAAGUAGGAAUCCUUCGAGGGUGUUACACAGGUGCUGCAUGGCCGUCGUCAGCUCGUGUCGUGAGAUGUAGGGUUAAGUCCCGAAACGAGCGCAACCCUUAUCCCAUGUUACAUGUGUCUUGGGAAACUGCCUCGGUAAAACGGGGAGGAAGGCGGGGAUGAGGUCGGUCCGCAUGGCCCUUAUGCCCUGGGCUACACACGCGCUACAAUGGUCGAUACAAUGGGCAGCCAAACCGCAAGGUGGAGCCAAUCCCAUCAAAGUCGAUCUCAGUUCGGAUUGUGGUCUGCAACUCGACCACAUGAAGUUGGAUUUGCUAGUAAUCGUGAAUCAGCCAUGUCAC